AUUGAACGCUGGCGGCAGGCCUAACACAUGCAAGUCGAACGGUAACAGGAAGAAGCUUGCUUCUUUGCUGACGAGUGGCGGACGGGUGAGUAAUGUCUGGGAAACUGCCUGAUGGAGGGGGAUAACUACUGGAAACGGUAGCUAAUACCGCAUAAUGUCGCAAGACCAAAGAGGGGGACCUUCGGGCCUCUUGCCAUCGGAUGUGCCCAGAUGGGAUUAGCUAGUAGGUGGGGUAACGGCUCACCUAGGCGACGAUCCCUAGCUGGUCUAGAGGAUGACCAGCCACACUGGAACUGAGACACGGUCCAGACUCCUACGGGAGGCAGCAGUGGGGAAUAUUGCACAAUGGGCGCAAGCCUGAUGCAGCUAUGCCGCGUGUAUGAAGAAGGCCUUCGGGUUGUAAAGUACUUUCAGCGGGGAGGAAGGGAGUAAAGUUAAUACCUUUGCUCAUUGACGUUACCCGCAGAAGAAGCACCGGCUAACUCCGUG
rnacentral:rRNA from 1 species